rnacentral:rRNA from 1 species
CCUACGGGUGACAGCAGUGAGGAAUAUUGGUCAAUGGGCGCGAGCCUGAACCAGCCAAGUCGCGUGAGGGAAGACGGUCCUAUGGAUUGUAAACCUCUUUUGUCGGGGAGCAAAAGACGCCACGCGUGGCGUUCCGAGAGUACCCGAAGAAAAAGCAUCGGCUAACUCCGUGCCAGCAGCCGCGGUAAUACGGAGGAUGCGAGCGUUAUCCGGAUUUAUUGGGUUUAAAGGGUGCGCAGGCGGACGAUCAAGUCAGCGGUAAAAGUGAGAGGCUCAACCUCGGCGAGCCGUUGAAACUGGUUUUCUUGAGUGAGUGAGAGGUAUGCGGAAUGCGUGGUGUAGCGGUGAAAUGCAUAGAUAUCGCGCAGAACUCCGAUUGCGAAGGCAGCAUACCGGCGCUCAACUGACGCUGAUGCACGAAAGUGUGGGUAUCGAACAGGAUUAGAUACCCCUGUAGUC